rnacentral:rRNA from 1 species
UACAGAGGUCUCAACCGUUGUUCGGAUUCAUUGGGCGUAAAGGGUGCGUAGGCGGUCGCGCAAGUCGGAUGUGAAAUCUCAGGGCUCAACCCUGAAACUGCAUUCGAUACUGCGUGGCUAGAGUGCUGGAGAGGAGACUGGAAUUUACGGUGUAGCAGUGAAAUGCGUAGAUAUCGUAAGGAAGACCAGUGGCGAAGGCGAGUCUCUGGACAGCAACUGACGCUGAGGCGCGAAAGCGUGGGGAGCGAACAGG